rnacentral:lncRNA from 10 species
GGGCCCACCAUGGGUGUUGACGGCUUCAUGAUGGUAAGAAGAGAACCCCCAGUCAUCCAGCUGGCGUGGCAGCCAAAGAGAAACACUUAAUCGGAUGGAGAUGAGAGCCCACCAGAGCAUAUAAUAGUCGCUGCUCCAAGAAGGCUGAGAUUCUAGGAUGCACGCACAGCCCACUCUCAACUCAUGACCUCCUCUGUGCCCAGGGAGCAGAACCUGCUAAUGAGAGGAACAGAAAAACCCACACAGAAUUGAUGUGUUCCCAGAAAAUAUCUUUGGGUAAAUCCAUUCUCUCAUCAACUUCCACUAAGAAAUUGAAGAGGAAUUCCCAAAUGGAGAUGGAGAAACCUUCAAAAGACAAAGUUGAAAACUUUCAUAAAGGAGGGGUUUCUAAUAAUGGGCAACUUUGUGGCACGGAGCUCCUUCCUUUACUCCAGGAUGGUUCUGAGCUGGUGUCAUACUGAAAUAAAGAGUGGAGGUGGUGGUGGCCCUCAUGGCUGUGAUGCACCCCUCGCUUCUGGAGACUACGAGACUUGUCUGAAGUCACUUGCUGGUCUUCCUUGGCUGCCAAGACUUCUCCCCCUCAGACCACAGAUGAGAACAUUGAGGCCUAGGGCAUUUCAAUAGCUUGCCAAAGGGCUCAUCAUUCUCGGGUAACAGGAUGAGGCCAGACACCAAGGAUCCCUGGAUCCAUGCCCUACUCUCCACACUUGUCUUGGGUCUAUGAAGCCCCCAGUCCCAAGGUAAGUCAUGUCAUUGUGGAAAUUAAUUGCAACCUUUCAUGAUUGUCCGAUCCCAUCUAUGGGUUUCAAGGAAGAUUAUGAAGUCCUUAGAACCACAAUGUGUCUAAUUUUUAUUCUGUAUUUUAUUUAUUUUUAAAUGUCUGAGAUGCUGAGAACCUGAGAUAUCACUCAUCUCAUCUUCCUGAAUUUUAUGAACUAAGAAGCGAAAGCUCACCCAAAGCCAUUUAUAGAGUCUAUGGAAAAAGAAGGACUAGACCCUGGAUUCCGUGAUUUACAGGUUUUUCUUCUCCUAAUUUUCAAUCCACUCCAAAACAUGCAGAGAGAUGACCUUAGCAAAGAUGUUUAUUAGUAGAUAUAAAGGGUGGCUGGUGCCAUUCUUCCAAAAGGAAAGCUGUCAUCUUUACUCACUCAGUCCUCAGCAAACUAUCUGAGCACUAUUUUUGUGCCUCAUCUGGGAGCUGGGGAGUCAGUGAUGGGCAAGAUAUGGUCUUUACUUGCAAAAUUCCCAUAGCACAUUGGAGAAGAAAAAACAGCAAUCAGGUAUGUGCGCUACAGGGGGGUGCAUGCUGCAACCACCAGCAUCAACAACAACAUGCAUUGAAUGCUUCAUGUAUAUCAAGUGCUCUCUCUCCUAAGAGAUAUGAAUGCAUUAACCCCAUUUACUCCUCAAGACUAGAAACAAACACUUUAUAAUUUGCUACGGACUGAAAAUUUGUGUCCCCCUAAAAUGUAUAUGUGGAAGUCUUAAUCCCCAAUGUGAUGAUAUUUGGAGGCGGGGCCUUGGGACAUAAUUGGGGUAGGGUGAGGUCAUGAGGGUGAAAACCCCAUACUGGGAUUGGUGCCCUUAGAAAGGUAUAAAGGGACUGGAGCAUGCAGUUUCUCUCUCUCUCUCUCUCUGUUUCUCUCUCUCUCUCUCUCCCUCCGCCGUAUGAGCACGCAGCAAGAAAGCGGCUGUGUGGCAACCAGGAAGACAGCCUUUAUCAGAAUCCAGCCAUAUUGGUGCCCUGAUCUCAGACUUUCCAGCCUCCAGAACUGUAAGAAAUAGAUGUUCACUGUUUAAGUGCCCCAGUCUAUGGUAUUCUAUGAUAGCAGCCCAAACUGACUAAGACAUCAUUUCUUUUAUCAGAUGAGGAAACCAAUACAUAGAAAGACUUUUAAAUUUUCCCUAAACAAUGGAAGUACAUGCUAAGUGCAAUAGGGGUAUGUAGAAAAGAGUGUUCAGAUUUUAGGGAGAUUUCCAGAAAAGGCCUCUUCAUGCUGGAGAUGGCUUUUUUUAAAUAAUGGAAGGGAGUUCCCAAGGCAAUGGUUGAGCAGUGGAGUGGGAGCCCAGGUAAGAGUAUGCAGGUGGUAGAAACAAAAUAUUCUAAGACAGACGGGCACAAAACAGCAUGGCUUAUUUGGGGAACUACAAGUACCUCUAUGUUGCUGAUGCCUGAUGUUCUAGAGGACACAUUUCAAGGCAGGAACAAGCUGAGGGCAUAUCUCAACCUCCCCUUCCUCAGGGGCACUCAUCCUUCAUCCCUUUAGCAGUUUUACUCAGCAUUUGUUCUAGGAUGCCAGGCUGUGAGGUAAGACAGGUAAGUGAGACUCAGCCUCUACCCUCAGAGUUCACAAUCUAAUGGGAAAACUAAAUUAUCAUAAAGAUAGCAUUACAAAUGCAGUGCUUGACAUAUGCCUGGAGCACUAUGAGACUGUAGGUGAGAAGCAACGAAAAGAGGACAAUCCGGAGAAGGUAGCAGCUGUGCUGUCUCUUAAAGUCUGACCAGGUAGUCCAGGUGUUCCCUGUGUUUGAGGUCAAGGGGCAGCAGGAGAAGAUGCAACAGAAAAGCACACAGCACGAGCAAAGCCACAUAGCUGAAAAACAGCUAUCACCUGCAACAGCUUCUGCUGCUACAAUACCUGUACUCCUCUUAGAUUUUAUUCCAGUAUCAGCCAACAACGUGAUCUGACAGGACAGUCCCAGCCCUAGGAAAUGAACUAUGAUUCGUGCAGACCGAUCGAAGUCAUACCAUACAGCGAUGGAUUUGGGCAUGUGGGCCAGUUGGGAUCAAGGGAAAGGAAGCAUUUCCAUUUUGAUCAAUGGGGGGAUUCUGGGAAAGUCUUCUGCCCGUAAAAAGAAACAAGCCAGGAAAAACGUCCCCUUCCUCCCUGUAGACAUGGCUAUGAACGGCAGGAUGCCUGAAACUGUCCAGGCUUGUUAUGAUGGAGAGACACACUGCACAGGGUGGGGGAAAGGGGAAAUAUACCCUAAGAAUGGUAGACCAGAAAGAUGUAAAGCAUCUGUAUCCUUGUUGAAAUUAUAGUGCCUCCCAAUUAACAUACCUAGAACUGUUUACCUCUGGACAUUUCAUUAUGUGAGAUAUUAAAGACCUGUGUAUUUGAAGCCUCUG